rnacentral:lncRNA from 1 species
UCAAGCCAUUGAAUCCCCAGAAUAACAUCUGCGAUUCCGAGCUCUAGAGGCAGGAAGCUCGUAAAAACGGAACACUGGGGAAGCCACAACUUUACAUUUUUAUCACCCUUUUGCAAGGAACCUUCACUCCUCCAGCAACUAUCACACCAUAGCGAGCCGUCUCACACGCCUUCAGUCUUAAACUCUUCACUACCCGUUUAGAAAUAAUGUUGUUUGUCGCUCCGCUAUCAAAGAGAACCACUAC